rfam:Catabacter hongkongensis strain HKT16 2806ref_2ab_c10, whole genome shotgun sequence.
CCCGCUAUUCCGUUAGCGGUAGCCUAGUGACACAUGGAAGACUGGCAACGGUCUUUUGUGAAGCUGUCACGACAAUGUAGCCCUCCGGUAAUUCGGAGAAGCCAAAACCGCGAGGUGAGGGCGAGCCUGCGAGCAUCAAUGUGGGCGGGGCG